ensembl:snRNA U6 U6 spliceosomal RNA
UUGCUUCAGUCAGUAGCACAUUUAUUAAAGAUGAAACAAUACUUGGAAAAUAAACACAGCCUCUGCACAAGAAUGACACAUAAAUUUGUUAAGUGCUAUAUAUAUAU